AUUGUUAUAAGACGUUGGGGCAGUUAUAUUUAGGAAUGGAGGUAUAGUUGGUAACAUAUCAUUGCAAAUUACAAUUACCAAGUGCUAAUUUUUGACAGUCUACUUGUCUCCUUGAUUAAUUACCUGGAUCUGAUGCCUUUUAUCAGUGGGAUUUGAAUGAUUAUUUAGCUAGCCCCCAUGAUUGAAGUUGUUGAAUGUUAGUUUCUUUGGAAUGCUACAGAGAAAAAGUGUGUGUACCUAUAAGCAAUACAAAAGACAUCUUUAUCAACGAAUCCAAACAAAUGGAGAUCUGCCUCCCAUGAUAGUUUUUCAUAUUAAAAUACAGUUACAGUUGGGAACAUACAUAGUAUAGGAUUAUGACCAGAAGAAUAAAAACAAAUAGAAUAUCACAUGCAUGUCAACAUAGUAUUUUAUUACUGUACAUCAUUUUCCAUUGUUUGAUAUGAUGGAGAAGUGCAACUCGAUAUAGUCACUUAUCACAGACAACACACAUACAAGAGUUUACCAAAAUGUUAUCAGCAUGACAAUACGAAUGAUCAAGGAGAUUCCGCCACUUCUGCUCGCAUGUUGCCUGGCAAGUAACAGGAAAGCAAAUAAAAGGUUCCCAGAAAGCACGAUAGGUAUGGCAAUUCCCUGUUGUCAAGAAAAUACAUCAGCAAGAGAUAUCCAAACUAAGAAACUUGUGGAGUUCUACUAUGCUUGGAGGGAUAAGGGAAACACGUAUAUAGGGACAUGGAGAUUGAUUUCUUACUAGCAUGGCUUGAAUUUCCUAGCAGCACAAGUACCAUAAGGCAAAGAAGAAUAGUUUUCCCCUCCAUAUCUGAUUCUCGUUUUGGUUUGGGGAUCAAGAAGCAUAUAUGAUGUUAUGUUAUAGCAUUGUCUCUAG
rnacentral:lncRNA from 1 species